ensembl:lncRNA
AAAUGAUUGAGACUGUUUUGCCUAGUUUUAUACUAUGUUGUUACAACUAUAUUUAAAGGAAACAUAGUGAGAGGAGCUUGGCCUCAAAGUCACGAUGACCUGGGUUUAAUACCUGUCUCUUAAAUAUAUAUACACCGCCUCUUGGAUCCUGGGAGAAUUCCUUAGUCUCUCAGUGCCCUGGGCAGCUCUCUGAAAUAAUAAAUUGCAAAAAAAAUGGCAUUCUUCAUUGGGACAGGGAGGGAGUUUCUCAUUCAGAGUGUCCUACUUAUAAUGAAAUCAUAAGAUUGGGGUAUAAAAAAAAAAAAAAUAUCAUCAUACAAUUGCAUAUCAGCCUACUAUAAAAUUCCUUAUAACUCCCAUGUAAAGACAGGGAAUUGAAAAGCUUUUGAGGACUUUUUAAAAAUUACUUGCUUUAAAUGUAUGUUUGUUCCUUUUUAAAAAGUUGAAUUGUAUCCUACCUGACUGCCUAAUGCUAAACACAGCUAGUCUCUAGAAUCUACACAUGUUUUCUGAUUUACAAAUGUCAGUUUGUUUGGUCAUUAUUACAACUAGUCAUUGUUUUUAGAAAUAAUUUUUAAUUCUGGGGUAUGGAAGUAGAGGGCUGUGUUGUAGAAACAUUAGGACUUAUUCCACAGCCUAAAUUUCUAACCUCCCCAGGGGAAUUUUGCUAUUUAACUACAUUUUAAAAGAAAAUGGCAGUUACACAUUCAAAUUUUAACAUUCAGAAUUUUGUUUUGUUUUUUGUAAACACAUAAUUCUUGAGUAAGUUGAAAUUCCAACUUUAUGUAUUCAUAAUUUUUGAAAAUAUGAAUAGAUAUGUAUGCAGACACAUUGCUACCUACAUCUUAUUUAUCCCUUAUUCUACCCAUUUAUGAAGGAACAAAAAUUUUUUUGUGUUGGAUAUUAAUGGUUUGUUUGGCAUAAUGUUUUUUGCUUUACUCAUAUAAAGGAAAAGAAAACUACUUUCAUAUUUCAUAAUCUUAAGUCUUACUCCAAUUUUCAAACAUCUUCAAGAAGAAACCUAGAUGUAGGCAUUCUAAGUGAAACUGUAAAAUUUUGAAUUAUGGAAACCAUUUACAGAAUUAUUUAAAUGUUUUUGCUUUAAACAUAUUGUCAAACCAAUAAGUCCUAGUAUCGUAGUGUGGAAUGUAAAAAGGCAGUGCUUUAUUCUUUUUAAAGCAGUUGUAGUUCUGGUUGUGAUUAAUUAAUUGCUGUCUGAAUCCUAAAAGAUAGAAAUGUGGUAUCUGCUCGUUAAUUAUGUGCUUGUUUUACGAUAUGAGGCUGCAUUAAAACAGAUAUUGAAGAUUUUUUUCUUGCCUCUUGCUCCCAGUACACUGAGAACUUGAUACAUACAUUCUUAAAAUAGCAAUUGGUGAUAUAUAAUAACUUGUGCAUGUAAAUAACUUUUGUAGUUUCAACAUAAGUAGUAUUAGAAUCCUAUUUUCCCCAGAGGAAAAGCUAUUGGAAAAAAAUCAUACUCAGCAAAUUUAAAUAGUUCUAUGAAUAUACAUACCACUAUGUUCUAUACAUUUCAACAUUUUGGGGGGAAAAGUCUUAGCAUCAAAAUCCCAAUUAUUUUUAGGUACUGUAUUGCUUUGGAAUUUCACCAUUUAAGUGUUGCUUAAAUACAACACUUUGCAUUUAAAUGCUUGAUGUUUGACUUUUAAAAAAAACUAAAAAUUAUAUUCCCAUCACAUCCAUGCUUAAGUAGUCAUUGAAUCUUAGCCUCUUUUGUUUAUUUAAAUAUACAUAUAUGAUAUAUACAUAUACACAAAUAUAAAUCAGUAGUUGAAUUCAUUGAGCAUUUAUUAAGCACUUCCUCUAUGCCAAACACUGUGCUAAGCCCUAGGGAUGUCAUAAAUUUAAGUUUUAUUGGAUGACAAAAUAAGAAACUAAUGUGAAAAAUGUAAAAACCUUUGAAAUUAUCUAAAUUUUGCUAUAGGAGUCUUAACACCAUGUCUUCUGUUCCCAUUUCACUUACAAGUAGAGCUCUACCUCAACACUCAACAUUAAAAUGGGAGAAACAAAAUGCACUUUUCUUGUUCAGGACAGCAUAACUCCAACUUUUUAAGAAAUCUAGUAUCUUAUGUUCAUCAGAAAAUAAAAUGGGUCAAGAUGAUUUUAGGUAAUUUAUUUAAAACUCCUUUCCAAGGGAUUAUCAAAUAUUUUUAUUUUUGAUAUUUUAAACUAUUUUGUAGCUUGAAAAUGAGUGUUUCCAUAGAAAGAUCAGAAAAGUUUAAAAAAAAAAAGUCAAAAAAACUUUCUUAAAAAAAAAAAUCCAAACCCCGACUUAGCAGAAACUUAUUUUAAUUUCUAAAAAUAAAAUUUUAAAGAUUUGAACCUCUUCUUUAGAAUAAAUAGCAAUGGAAUAAUGUGAACUAUUCAUAUGACAGUUUCAUAUUUCAUAAUACUGUUUCAUAUGAUAAUAAAAGUAAAUAUUUGAGGGACCUGAGUUUUUGAACAUUAUAUCCAGAGGAAUGCUAAAGAAGACUUUUGUGAGCAAGUUCUAAUGAGAAAUAAACAGACAAAAUUUUUACAUUCUUGAGAAUUUUUUUUGCCCACUUCUCUUAGGAGAAGACAGUUCUCAAAAUCUAGCAAAACUUCAGAUAGCAUAGAUUGGCCUAUUAUUUUGGAGUAUUAGAAAUAUGGCUAUGCUUAUUCUCUGUUUAAACUGCAACUGAUAAUCAAAGAUAUGUUGCCACUAAACCAAAGUACCUAAAAGUGAAAUUAAGCCUUAAUCCUUAUGAGCUAUCUCCAUCCAUACCCCUCAUAUUUUAUUUAUCACUAUGAUUAAUUCAAUAUCAAAUAUUCAAAUGAAAUCACAAACUUUAAAAAAAUUAGUUAACAAAAUUCAUUUUCUAAUAACAUUCGUGCCCUAUACAUCAUCAAAAUAUUUGUUUCUAAAAUAAAACAAAAUACUUGAUUCUUUUUGUAACUAAGAAUUCACUUCUGACUUAACCUUUAUUUCACAAAUAUUUAGGAUCCUAUAAAUGCCUUCAAAAAUGC